CAACUGGAAACGGUUGCUAAUACCCCAUAUGCUUUCGAGUGAAAAGGAAUUUCCGCCUAAAGAGAAGCUUGCGGCUGAUUAGCUUGUUGGUAAGGUAACGGCUUACCAAGGCGACGAUCAGUAUCUGGUUUGAGAGGACGAUCAGACACACUGGAACUGAGACACGGUCCAGACUCCUACGGGAGGCAGCAGUGGGGAAUUUUCCGCAAUGGGCGAAAGUGACGGAGCAAUACCGCGUGAGGGAUGACGGCCUAUGGGUUGUAAACCUCUUUUUUCAGGGAGGAAUCAAUGACGUGUACCUGAAGAAUAAGCAUCGGCUAACUCCGUGCCAGCAGCCGCGGUAAGACGGAGGAUGCAAGUGUUAUCCGGAAUCACUGGGCGUAAAGCGUCUGUAGGUGGCCCAAUAAGUCAACUGUUAAAUCUUGAGGCUCAACCUCAAAAUCGCAGUCGAAACUAUUAGGCUAGAGUAUAGUAGGGGUAAAGGGAAUUUCCAGUGGAGCGGUGAAAUGCGUAGAGAUUGGAAAGAACACCGAUGGCGAAGCACUUUACUGGGCUAUGACUAACACUCAGAGACGAAAGCUAGGGUAGCAAAUGGGAUUAGAUACCCCAGUAGUCCUAGCUGUAAACAAUGGAUACUAGAUGUUGAACAGAUCGACCUGUGCAGUAUCAAAGCUAACGCGUUAAGUAUCCCGCCUGGGAAGUAUGCUCGC
rnacentral:rRNA from 1 species